rnacentral:tRNA from 1 species
UAGCUCAGCUGGAUAGAGCAACGGCCUUCUAAGCCGUCGGUCGGGGGUUCGAAUCC